rnacentral:rRNA from 1 species
GCGGGGAGGAAGGCGGUACGGUUAAUAACCGUGCUGAUUGACGUUACCCGCAGAAGAAGCACCGGCUAACUCCGUGCCAGCAGCCGCGGUAAUACGGAGGGUGCAAGCGUUAAUCGGAAUUACUGGGCGUAAAGCGCACGCAGGCGGUCUGUCAAGUCGGAUGUGAAAUCCCCGGGCUCAACCUGGGAACUGCAUUCGAAACUGGCAGGCUAGAGUCUUGUAGAGGGGGGGAGAA